UAACUUUUAUACCUAAAACCUAACAAGAUACAGAAGAUAUCCUAGCGAGAGACCUAACGAGAAAAGAUCCUACACAGACACCUAACGAGAAAUGAACCUACACCGAGACCUAACUAGAGAAAUCAACAAUAAUGUGAAAGCGAUAAGUAGAAUUUGUUUCAUGACUUUACUAAUGAUUCAAUUUAAAAUGUUAAGGUGAAUAUUGCUCUUACCUCGUAAAAUUCAUGUGACAGAUAUGUUGCCCCGACAAAAGCUCAUCAUAAACUGAUUGUUACAUUAGUAAGUACACAAACGUAUUUGAUUAAAUACUGGUCACAGUAUAAAACCGUAUAUGUUUAAAUACUGAUAGCAGUAUAUAAACGUAUAUAUCAUAUGCUGAAGGCUAACAGUAUAUCAACAUAU